rnacentral:tRNA from 1 species
GGGAUUCAAUUGGGUAAA